rnacentral:lncRNA from 1 species
GAGGAGAAGGGAGGUGUGUCCUAGAGGGAAGCUGGCUCUCCUCAGGGGUGCAGGGCAAAUGUGAACAACUCCCAGAGAAGGCUUCCAAAAGGGAGCCAGUGAUGCCAGCUAAGUUCUGAUGAACGAAAAAAAAAUAUUUCAAAAGUGUGUGUGUGUGUGUGUGUGUGUGAGAGAGAGAGAGAGAGAGAGAGAGAGAGAGAGAGAGAGAGAAAAGACAUAGAAACACCAUGGGUACUGCGAGAUAUCUUAGCCAGCCAAGUACUCACUGAUAGGCACAGAACACAAGUUGGACCCCCAGAACCCAUGUUUAAAAAGCCAGGGCAGUGGCAAGUGUUUAUAACCCCAGUGUAAGGGAGCGCAAGCCUGGUGGAUCUGUGGUGAGCCAGCCUAGCCUCAGCAAGAUUCAGGCCAGUGAGAACCUGUCUCAAAAAACUGAACCAUACACAAAAGCCCAUGGUGCCCAAGGAACAAUGCCCAAGGUUGCCUUCUGAGCCUCACCCCCAGGCACAAUCAGAAUCACCGCCAACGAUGACUUCCAGGCUGUGAAAAUGGAGGCACAUAAAGUGCAGAGGCAUUGGUGAAGAGAAGGGGUCAUGCUGAGAUCGGGUUGGUGUCAUUGUGACUGCGUCCAGAAGUGCAGGGAGCAAGUCAAGACUUGAUGGAAGCAAGCUGUGGCUGGAUUCACACCUUACUAAAAGACAUUUGUGCUGCAGGUGGUUAAAAAGAGGCAGGGGUGAGGAUUGUGAGCUGGGGAGACCAAAUGAGAGGCACCAGGCAGAAAUGACAGCAUCCAGCGGAGAAAAUGCUAGUGGGGCUGAGAAACUGAUGGGAUUCAAGACUCAGACAGCCCUAGUCCUGUUCAAUAUGCCACUGAGAAUAUAGGGAUGGAGGCUGUGCUGUUGGGAGUCCCGCAUGGUGCCUGUAGUACUUGUAUAUAACUUUCAAUGACCAGCCAUGAUAUAACGUCAAAUAGGCAUUAGCAGGACAUCCCAAGUAGCUGUGGAAAUCAGAAAAUGUCUGUACUUUAUCCAGAAAAUGCCCAAGGGGUAGGAGGUGAGGGGUUGGGGGCUAGGGAUGGCUCAGAGGUUCAAAGCAUUUGCUGCUCAGACCUGAGUUUGGUUUCCAGCACUUAUGUCAGGCAGAGAGUAGAAAAUGUCUGAAAGGCCCUGUGGUGAUCUUGGUAUUCUCUUUUAAUAAACAAUAAAAUGG